GUGCCAGCAGCCGCGGUAAUACGGAGGGUGCAAGCGUUAUCCGGAUUCACUGGGUUUAAAGGGAGCGCAGGCGGAUUGGUAAGUCAGUGGUGAAAGGCUUGAGCUUAACUCGGGAACUGCCAUUGAUACUAUCAGUCUUGAAUAUUGUUGAGGUUUGCGGAAUGGGUCAUGUAGCGGUGAAAUGCAUAGAUAUGACCCGGAACACCUAUUGCGAAGGCAGCAGGCUAAACAAAGAUUGACGCUGAGGCUCGAAAGCGUGGGGAUCAAACAGGAUUAGAAACCCCCGUAGUCC
rnacentral:rRNA from 1 species